rnacentral:lncRNA from 1 species
UAGAGGGCAGUAAUGCUUUAGAUUUUAUUUGAAAGGAGCGGAAAAUCAUUUAGCACUGGACUGUUUGUGAGAAGCUGCACCUAUCGAAUAGAUUUUAUCAUUUUAUUAAAUCAUCCUCAAACAAAUGUUAGACUGAUGGAAAUAUUUGGAAAUCAAGGAUCUCCCUUUCACGGAGCUGAUGCUCCACAGCUGCAUGUUUGUAAGGAGGAGGAAGAAAGGAAUUACAAUUGUGUUCAAGAGGAACAAGAAUCUCCACAGAUUAAAGAGGAAGAGGAGGAACUCUGCUGCAGCCAGGAGGAAAAGCAGCUGUUAUUGAAGCAGGAGGUCAAAUCUGAGUGUGAGGAAAUAUUUGUAAUCCAGUUUGAAGGUGAGCUUGAUGUUUUUUUAAUACUAUAUAAAAAGCAAUAUUACAGUAGUGGUUGUCAUAACUGGAAUGAUAUCUUUGUAGAACUCUUUUGUACCUCCAAGAUUUGAAAUCGGCCAAUUAGGGAACAGAGUAAUUACAUCUAAUGUUUCAGUUGUUUUCAUUAAUUUCCUCCUAAAUCUUUGUUCCUUCAGAUCUCUCAGAGAAACAUAUUUGUAAGGAGGAGACUGAAUCUGAGCAGCUUCUCUGGAAGCAGGAGAGAAGCUCCAGUCCAAAUGAGGAGGAACCAGAGCUUCCACAGAUCAAAGAGGAGCGGGAGGAGGUCUGCAUCAUUAAGGAAGAAGAGCAACUUGAACUGAAGCAGGAGACGGAUGCUCUUAUAGUCACUGAACAUGAUCAGGAAAAGAUGAGCUCCAAACCAGAACCAAGUGAGAGUCCAGAUCUGGACGAAAACAGUGAUUCUGUGACUGUCCAGCUGGACCCUCCUUCACCUAAGAGCUUACAUUCCUGUGAAACAUGUGGAAAAGUUUUUAGCCGACGUUGUAGUUUACUCAUUCACAUGAGAAUACACACAGGUGAGAGGCCUUACUCAUGUGAAAUAUGUGGAAGGAGCUACAUUCAAAGAAGUGAUCUGACUAUUCACAUGAGGAAACACACAGGUGAGAGGCCUUUUACCUGUGAACUGUGUGGAAAAGGUUUUUCUCAAAAUAGUUCUCUGACUAU